rnacentral:rRNA from 1 species
AACGAACGCUGGCGGCAGGCCUAACACAUGCAAGUCGAACGGACGUAGCAAUACGUUAGUGGCGCACGGGAGAGUAACGCGUGGGAACCUACCUUUUGGUUCGGGAUAACAUCGGGAAACUGGUGCUAAUACCGGAUAAGCCCUUCGGGGGAAAGAUUUAUUGCCGAAAGAUGGGCCCGCGUUGGAUUAGCUAGUUGGUGAGGUAAUGGCCCACCAAGGCAACGAUCCAUAGCUGGUCUGAGAGGAUGAUCAGCCUCACUGGGACUGAGACACGGCCCAGACUCCUACGGGAGGCAGCAGUGGGGAAUAUUGGACAAUGGGGGAAACCCUGAUCCAGCCAUGCCGCGUGAAUGAUGAAGGCCUUCGGGUUGUAAAGUUCUUUUGGUGGGGACGAUGAUGACGGUACCCACAGAAUAAGCUCCGGCUAACUUCGUGCCAGCCGCCGCGGUAA